GACGAAGACAGCAAGGCAGAAGUAUCCUCAUUGAAGGACAGAAAAGCGUGCGAUGUUUUCAUCCCUCUUUCAUUCCUGGGCCGUGUUGAGUCACCUUCCCCAAAGGAUGGACAAAAAGGCUUUGUCUAGACCAGCAGGAGGUACAAACUGAACUUUCAAAUCCUGCUACAUUCACAGUAAAAGGCAUGGAUGAACUAGCUGGCCUUUAAGGGCCCUCCGAGUGUAAGGGUCUAUGACUCUGUUG